ACCACCGAGCCCUGCCUUAGCUUGGCGGCUGUGUUCCUAAAAGUCAGGAAACGAGADGGCUGACUCGAUGGCUCGG
rnacentral:tRNA from 1 species